AGAGUUUGAUCCUGGCUCAGAGCGAACGCUGGCGGCGUACUUAACACAUGCAAGUCGAACGGGGAGCUUCGGUGUAGCAAUACAUCGGAGCUUCUAGUGGCGAACGGGUGAGUAACACGUGGGCAACCUGUCCUCCAGUCGGGGAUACCCGCUCGAAAGGGCGGCUAAUACCGGAUGUGGUCCCGGGGUCGCGAGAUCUUGGGAGGAAAGGCGGCGAAAGCUGUCGCUGGUGGAGGGGCUCGCGGCCUAUCAGCUAGUUGGUGAGGUAACGGCUCACCAAGGCGAUGACGGGUAGCUGGUCUGAGAGGACGACCAGCCACACGGGGACUGAGACACGGUCCAGACUCCUACGGGAGGCAGCAGUGGGGAAUUUUGCGCAAUGGGGGAAACCCUGACGCAGCAACGCCGCGUGGAGGAUGAAGUCCUUUGGGACGUAAACUCCUUUCGACCGGGACGAUGAUGACGGUACCGGUGGAAGAAGCCCCGGCUAACUUCGUGCC
rnacentral:rRNA from 1 species